UUUGAGAACAAAUAGGAUGCGAAAUUUGAACUUUGUUGCUGGAAAAUGAAUUUUGAGUUACUGAAAUUGUGAUUAAGUGCUGGAAAUGUAGUUUUAAGAUUAAAAAAGCCCAGUGUAAGUGCUCGAAUUGGGUGCUGAGAGCUGGUAUGUGCUGAGAUUGAGAUACAGAUGCUGAAAUUACAUUCUUGAAUGCAGAAACUAAGAGUGUAAGUGCAUAAAUUGAAAUUUUAAGUUGGAUUUUGUGUUUUAAGUGGUGGAACAAUAAAAUUAAGAACCUUAGCUUGACUAUUGUGUUACAAAGGGGAUUGUGUGUUUGGUUUUGGUGAUACCGAGUGGUCCGAGUGAUAUAAAGAUAUCCGGGUGCUUUAUAGUUUACAGAAUCUUUGUGCAUUACAAUCUCUGUUGUGUACAUGAAUCUCAUUUAGAAGAACACCCAAUGUUUUGGAUGGCUAGUUAAAAUGGGCAGGGUAAAAAAUGCAGGAAAGACCAAAAGGUUUUCCCUUUGCGGAAUAUGAGACUGAAGAGAUUGCAGACUAUGCUGUCGGGCUUUUCUCUGGCUUGUGACUCUUUACAACAGGACAUUGAAAUUUGCAUUGACGGAUGGGGAAUGCUUCAAUAAGGGUCCCUCUUCCCCCACCUCGUUACAGUGCAGCUUCUACCGGCAAUAGCUCAAAACUAUACAACUUAAGCACUUUUCAGCAAAAUACCCCUCCCUACCCUGGAUACAGCAAUUAAGACUGCUCCAUCUUCAAGUUUUGAUCAGUGGAGUAUCCCACAAUCCUGCUUUGGGUUACAGAGUAUGAAGAUCAACAUUAGAUUUUGGUUGUGGAUUCUACGUGCAGCGAGUUGAAUUUUUUGUUUGGAUACAUUUUGUUUAAUAUUACAUGGUUCGUAUACUGUUGUUUCGA